AGGAUGAACGCUAGCUACAGGCUUAACACAUGCAAGUCGAGGGGCAGCAUAUCGAAAGCUUGCUUUGAUGAUGGCGACCGGCGCACGGGUGAGUAACGCGUAUCCAACCUUCCCUAUACUAGAGGAUAGCCCGGCGAAAGUCGGAUUAAUACUCUAUGUUCUUCGUAGAAGACAUCUGAAAUGAAGCAAAGGUUUACCGGUAUAGGAUGGGGGAUGCGUCUGAUUAGGUUGUUGGCGGGGUAACGGCCCACCAAGCCCACGAUCAGUAGGGGUUCUGAGAGGAAGGUCCCCCCACAUUGGAACUGAGACACGGUCCAAACUCCUACGGGAGGCAGCAGUGAGGAAUAUUGGUCAAUGGACGAGAGUCUGAACCAGCCAAGUAGCGUGCAGGAUGACGGCCCUAUGGGUUGUAAACUGCUUUUAUACAGGGAUAAAGUGACGUACGUGUACGUUUUUGUAGGUACUGUAUGAAUAAGGACCGGCUAAUUCCGUGCCAGCCGCAGC
rnacentral:rRNA from 1 species